GCGGGGAUAGCUCAGUUGGGAGAGCGUCAGACUGAAGAUAUGAGGGUCGCGUGUUCAAUUCACGGUCACCGUA
rnacentral:tRNA from 1 species